rnacentral:rRNA from 1 species
UACGUAGGGAGCAAGCGUUGUCCGGAAUCAUUGGGCGUAAAGCGCGCGUAGGUGGCCCUGUAAGUCCGUUGUGAAAGUCAAAGGCUCAACCUUUGAAAGCCGAUGGAUACUGCAGGACUAGAGUACGGAAGAGGCGAGUGGAAUUCCUGGUGUAGCGGUGGAAUGCGCAGAUAUCAGGAGGAACACCAAUAGUGAAGGCAGCUCGCUGGGACGUUACUGACACUGAGGCGCGAAAGCGUGGGGAGCGAACAGG